UACGGAGGGAGCUAGCGUUGCUCGGAAUCACUGGGCGUAAAGGGCGCGUAGGCGGCCAUUCAAGUCGGAGGUGAAAGCCCAGGGCUCAACCCUGGAAUUGCCUUCGAUACUGUUUGGCUAGAGACCGGAAGAGGUAAGUGGAACUGCGAGUGUAGAGGUGAAAUUCGUAGAUAUUCGCAAGAACACCAGUGGCGAAGGCGGCUUACUGGUCCGGUUCUGACGCUGAGGCGCGAAAGCGUGGGGAGCAAACAGG
rnacentral:rRNA from 1 species